UUACGGCCAUAUCAUGUUGAAACAACAGUUCCCAUAGGAUCACUGAUGUUAAGCAACGUUGAACUUUGUCAGUACCUGUAUGGGUGACCACUUGGGAAUA